GACGAACGCUGGCGGCGUGCCUAACACAUGCAAGUCGAACGGGAAAGUGGAGCAAUCCAUGAGUAUAGUGGCGACCGGGUGAGUAACACGUGACUAACCUACCUUCAAGUGGGGGAUAACCUCGGGAAACCGGGGCUAAUACCGCAUAAAAUCUCUGUUAUGAGAAAGCAGGGAUCAAAGGAGCAAUUCGCUGGAAGAGGGGGUCGCGGCUGAUUAGCUAGUUGGUGGGGUAAUGGCCCACCAAGGCUUUGAUCGGUAGCCGGCCUGAGAGGGCGCACGGCCACACUGGAACUGAAACACGGUCCAGACUCCUACGGGAGGCAGCAGUGGGGAAUUUUGCGCAAGUGGGGGAAACCCUGACGCAGCAACGCCGCGUGGAGGAUGAAGUCCCUUGGGACGUAAACUCCUUUCGACCGGGAAGAUUAUGACGGUACCGGUGGAAGAA
rnacentral:rRNA from 1 species